CACUCCCGAGGCGUCAAAAACUGCAGAACGGUCAAGCGCCUCUAGCGUCACUAUGAAGACGUCAACGGCGCCCCUCGGCGUCACUAUAUCGACGAACUGGGACCUACAUUGAUUUCAAUGGGAAACUUUUGGCGUCAGAACACAGACGCGAAGGACAUGAGAUGAUGAUCGCUAUGAAAUCACGUUCAGGAAGUCUCAUUCAGCACACAUCGCGAUAUUUGCCAUCAGUUUACGUGUGCUGCAGGUUGGCUGAGGAGACCUAAAGGAAGCCGUCAGUCCAGUCUUGUUUGUGGAGAGGUCUUCAUUUAGAAACAGAGAAGACAGAAAGCUGCGGAGGGAGACAUUUGCAGUGGUAGGGUUUCUUGCAGAUAACGCUGUCCUUCUCCAUCAUGCACAAGGCCCUCUUUAACUUUUUAUCCCCCACACAUACAGAAAUGGCACCAGCUCAAUAUUAAGACUUUGCAGGGUUUUUUUUUUUUUUU